GGAGGCAGCAGUGGGGAAUUUUCCGCCUACGGGAGGCAGCAGUGGGGAAUUUUCCGCAAUGGGCGAAAGCCUGACGGGGCAAUGCCGCGUGGAGGAUGAAGGCCCAAUGGGUCGUAAACUUCUUUAGAUCAGAGACGAAGAGAUGACGGUACCUGAAGAACUAAGCAUCGGCUAAACCCCGUGCCAGCAGCCGCGGUAAGACGGGGGAUGCAAGCGUUAUCCGGAAUGAUUGGGCGUAAAGGGUCCGCAGGUGGCCCGGUCAGUCCGCUGUCAAAGCCUGGGGCUCAACCCUGGAGAGGCGGCGGAGACCACCGGGCUUGAGUCCGGUAGGGGCAGAGGGAAUUCCCGGUGGAGCGGUGAAAUGCGUAGAGAUCGGGAAGAACGCCAAGGGCGAAGGCACUCUGCUAGGCCUGAUUUCGCGACUGACACUCAGGGACGAGAGCCAGGGGAGCGAAUGGGAUUAGAUACGCCUGUAGUC
rnacentral:rRNA from 1 species